CCUACGGGUUGCAGCAGCCGAGAAUAUUGGACAAUGGGCGAAAGCCUGAUCCAGCGACAUUGCGUGGAGGAUGAAGACGUUCGCGCCGUAAACUCCUUUUAUAGGGAAAGAAGUAAUUGACGGUACCCUAUGAAUAAGCGGGGGCUAAUUCUGUGCCAGCAGCAGCGGUAAUACAGAACCCGCAAGCGUUAUCCGGAUUUAUUGGGCGUAAAGUGUUCGUAGGCGGUUCGGAAAGUCUGAUAUCAAAUAUCCGGGCUCAACCCGGGGCGAGUAUUGGAAACUUCCGAACUUGAAGGUGCUAGGGGCUAUCGGAACGCACGGUGUAGGGGUGAAAUCCGUUGAUAUCGUGCGGAACACCAAAAGCGAAGGCAGAUAGCUGGGGCAUUCUUGACGCUGAGGAACGAAAGCGUGGGGAGCAAAAAGGAUUAGAUACCCUAGUAGUC
rnacentral:rRNA from 1 species